rnacentral:lncRNA from 1 species
CUGUAGCCUGACCCAUCCUUGGGCCGCCGUGUGCGCUUAGCCACACCCCCAACCACCUGAGCCUCCAGUGCCGUGGUCGGAAAGCUCCGGGUUCCAUUGCUCGUCCAGAGGCCGCCUUGGCAAUGUGGCUUCAUGCCUCAACAACUGUAGCUUGUGACUUCCGACUUUCCGUUCUUUUAAAUUUUAUGUGUUAUGGGCGUUAGUUACCUGCUUGCAUGGUUGUGCACCACGUGUGAGCAGUGCCUGAGGAGGCUGAAAGAAGGUGUUCAAUUUACUAGAACUGGAGUGAUGCAAUGAAUGGUCUUGUGGGCCACAGACUGGUAUCUAGCUCAUCUUGAACACUGCCACCAUCAUGACCACAGGAGCCCUCCCUAUUUCUGCAUUCAUUUUUUUCAUUGUUUUGAAUGUCAACGUGUUCAUUAAACAAUUGAAGCCUCAU